AUUGAACGCUGGCGGCAGGCCUAACACAUGCAAGUCGAGCGGAGCGGCGGACGGGUGAGUAAUGCCUAGGAAUCUGCCUGGUAGUGGGGGAUAACGUCCGGAAACGGGCGCUAAUACCGCAUACUCUCAGAUGAGCCUAGGUCGGAUUAGCUAGGUGGUGGGGUAGAGGCCUACCAAGGCGACGACCCGUAACUGGUCUGAGAGGAGUAUCAGUCACACUGUAACUGAGACACGAUCCAGGCUCCUACGGGCGGCAGCAGUGGGGAAUAUUGGACGAUGGGCGGAAGCCUGAUCCAGCCAUGCCGCGUGUGUGAAGAAGGUCUUCGGAUUUUAAAGCGCUUUAAGUUGGAAGGCGUUACCAACAGAAUAAGCACCGGCUAACUUCGUGCCAGCAGCCGCGGUAAUAC
rnacentral:rRNA from 1 species